rnacentral:rRNA from 1 species
AUACAGAGGGUGCGAGCGUUAAUCGGAAUUACUGGGCGUAAAGCGCGCGUAGGCGGCUUGGUCAGUCGGAUGUGAAAGCCCCGGGCUUAACCUGGGAAUUGCAUUCGAUACUGCCAGGCUAGAAUGUAGUAGAGGGAAGUGGAAUUCCGGGUGUAGCGGUGAAAUGCGUAGAUAUCCGGAGGAACAUCAGUGGCGAAGGCGACUUGCUGGACUAAUACUGACGCUGAGGAGCGAAAGCGUGGGGAGCAAACAGGAUUAGAUACCCCGGUAGUCC